GCCCGCCUAGCUCAAUCGGAUAGAGCGUCAGACUCUUACAGUCCAAUACAGGCGGGUAUCUGAAGGCUGCGAGUUCGACCCUCGCGGUGGGCU